rfam:Taenia asiatica genome assembly, scaffold: TASK_contig0001867
CCGGCGAUAGCUCAGUUGGCAGAGCGGUGGACUGUAGUUGCUAGCAGCGAUCCAUAGGUCGGUGGUUCAAAUCCGCCUCGCCGGA